UAGGGAAUCUUCCACAAUGGACGCAAGUCUGAUGGAGCAACGCCGCGUGAGUGAAGAAGGUCUUCGGAUCGUAAAGCUCUGUUGUUGGUGAAGAAGGAUAGAGGCAGUAACUGGUCUUUAUUUGACGGUAAUCAACCAGAAAGUCACGGCUAACUACGUGCCAGCAGCCGCGGUAAUACGUAGGUGGCAAGCGUUGUCCGGAUUUAUUGGGCGUAAAGCGAGCGCAGGCGGAAUGAUAAGUCUGAUGUGAAAGCCCACGGCUCAACCGUGGAACUGCAUCGGAAACUGUCAUUCUUGAGUGCAGAAGAGGAGAGUGGAACUCCAUGUGUAGCGGUGGAAUGCGUAGAUAUAUGGAAGAACACCAGUGGCGAAGGCGGCUCUCUGGUCUGCAAACUGACGCUGAGGCUCGAAAGCAUGGGUAGCGAACAGGAUUAGAUACCCUGGUAGUCCAUGCCGUAAACGAUGA
rnacentral:rRNA from 1 species